CCUACGUGGUGCAGCAGUGGGGAAUAUUGCACAAUGGGGGGAACCCUGAUGCAGCAACGCCGCGUGAAGGAAGACGGUUUUCGGAUUGUACACUUCUAUCAAUAGGGAAGAAAGACAUGACGAUACCUAAAUAAGAAGCCCCGGCUACCUUCGUGCCAGCAGCCACGGUAAUACGUAGGGGGCAAGUGUUAUCCGGAAUUACUGGGUGGAAAGGUGGAGUAGGCGGCGAGGUAGGCGCUAUGUGAACGCCUUAGGCUUAACCUGAGGAUUGCAUAAAGAACUAUCUAGCUAGAGUACAGGAGAGGAAAGCGGAAUUCCUAGUGUAGCGGUGAAAUGCGUAGAUAUUAGGAAGAACACCAGUGGCGAAGGCGGCUUUCUGGACUGAAACUGACGCUGAGGCUCGAAAGCGUGGGGAGCGAACAGGAUUAGAUACCCUUGUAGUC
rnacentral:rRNA from 1 species